rnacentral:rRNA from 1 species
UACGUAGGUGGCGAGCGUUGUCCGGAUUUACUGGGCGUAAAGGGAGCGUAGGCGGACUUUUAAGUGAGAUAUGAAAUACCCGAGCUCAACUUGGGUGCUGCAUUUCAAACUGGAAGUCUAGAGUGCAGGAGAGGAGAGUGGAAUUCCUAGUGUAGCGGUGAAAUGCGUAGAUAUUAGGAGGAACACCAGUAGCGAAGGCGGCUCUCUGGACUGUAACUGACGCUGAGGCACGAAAGCGUGGGGAGCAAACAGGAUUAGAUA